rnacentral:rRNA from 1 species
GACGAACGCUGGCGGCGCGCCUAACACAUGCAAGUCGAACGGAGCACGGCCGGAAGAAGCCUUCGGGUGGAAUUUGGCCAUUGCUUAGUGGCGAACGGGUGAGUAACACGUGAGUAACCUGCCCUUGAGUGGGGGACAACAUUUGGAAACAGAUGCUAAUACCGCAUAAGACCACGGAGCCGCAUGGCUUUGUGGCCAAAGGAGCAAUCCGCUUAAGGAUGGACUCGCGUCUGAUUAGCUAGUUGGUGGGGUAACGGCCCACCAAGGCAACGAUCAGUAGCCGGACUGAGAGGUUGAACGGCCACAUUGGGACUGAGACACGGCCCAGACUCCUACGGGAGGCAGCAGUGGGGGAUAUUGCACAAUGGGCGAAAGCCUGAUGCAGCGACGCCGCGUGAGGGAAGAAGGUUUUCGGAUUGUAAACCUCUGUCUUCGGGGACGAUAAUGACGGUACCCGAGGAGGAAGCCACGGCUAACUACGUGCCAGCAGCCGCCGUAACAC